GACGAACGCUGGCGGCGUGCUUAACACAUGCAAGUCGAACGGAAAGGCCCUGCUUUUGUGGGGUGCUCGAGUGGCGAACGGGUGAGUAACACGUGAGUAACCUGCCCCUGACUUUGGGAUAACUUCAGGAAACUGGGGCUAAUACCGGAUAGGAGCUCCUGCUGCAUGGUGGGGGUUGGAAAGUUUCGGCGGUUGGGGAUGGACUCGCGGCUUAUCAGCUUGUUGGUGGGGUAGUGGCUUACCAAGGCUUUGACGGGUAGCCGGCCUGAGAGGGUGACCGGCCACAUUGGGCCGGAGAUACGGCCCAGACUCCUACGGGAGGCAGCAGUGGGGAAUAUUGCACAAUGGGCGGAAGCCUGAUGCAGCAACGCCGCGUGCGGGAUGACGGCCUUCGGGUUGUAAACCGCUUUCGCCUGUGACGAAGCGUGAGUGACGGUAAUGGGUAAAGAAGCACCGGCUAACUACGUG
rnacentral:rRNA from 1 species